CAAUAGCGUAUAUUAAAGUUGUUGCAGUUAAAAAGCUCGUAGUUGAAUUUCUGUUAGGAGCGACCGGGCCUUUGGAUGAACUUCCAUUGUUUUUGCUCUGUUUGUCGUCUCUAGACAUCCUGAAAUAUUUUUUUUGAAAUAUUUCUCUUUUACUGUUAGCAAAAUAGAGUGUUCCAAGCAAAGCGUAGUUUUGAAUACAUUAGAAUGGAAUAAUAAGAUAGGACUUUGGUGCUAUUUUGUUGGUUUGCACACCAAGGUAAUGAUUAAUAGGGACAGUUGGGGGUAUUCGUAUUUAAUUGUCAGAGGUGAAAUUCUUGGAUUUAUGAAAGACGAACUACUGCGAAAGCAUUUACCAAGGAUGUUUUCAUUAA
rnacentral:rRNA from 1 species